UUCAACUUCUUGAUGAGAAGAACUACCAGGUCACAUUGCAAGUGGUGUGGGAAGGAUGGAGACUUAGGGCCAUUUUUGCAGUCAGUCUGCCACAGACUCUCCAGGAAGGGAAAAAUGCCCUUAGACCCAAACAGCUCCUGAGAGCUGGCUCCUUUCCUAGCGUGGGAGUCAUCAGAGCCUCCGGAUCCCACCCCCUUUUCACUACAUGUCCUCUCUCAAAGAAAGCCACAAUUCUCCCUAUGAACUGCCAGCCAUCAGCGCCCGCCUUCCCUGUCUCUCGGCUCCAAGCUGAGGGAUGUCGUGGACGACCAGCCAGCUUGAUGAAUGCCGCCUCUGUAAACCCUCCCCUGGCCUCUGUCACAGCAUCAGUGUGAAAUGAACUUGCUAAUACUCUGAGAGCCACAAACCUUUUCCUCUUCCCCAGCACGACGCAUCGAAUCGAUCUGGCUGGGUGAGCCGCGACAAACCAAACCCCACAGAAAAAGGCAUCAGCAAAUUUAAAGCCUCGUUCAAGGUCUUGAUUCACCAUAAACUAAGUUGCCGGCAGCAGGUGUUGACACUUCUUCCACGGCGGUUGAUACCGGGAUUUAUCGACUUGCCAUAAGAUGCUGAUAUUGACCAAGACUAAGUUCCAAAUGAAAAGGCCUAUGGCAGUAUAUCUUUAUUGCUCAGAUAAUCUGCGGACUUGCUAAUCCUUCCUUGUCCCACUCAAUAAUGUUGCAGAAAUUCUUUUGGAACGGAGAGACCAUUACUUAAACACAACAAGAUGCUCUUUCCCUACAAGACCUCCUGAAACAGGGAUGGAGGUACCAGCAGUGUGUUGAGAACAUAACCAGUGUUGGAAAAUCUAUUUGUGCCUGUGCCCGAAACCAUAAUGCCUUUAAGUUUUUAGAGACCCAGCUCUCUCCUCUUGGGAAACAGCCCAGAAAAAAACACAGUAGGAUUUGACAUGGAACCUGUACAUGAAUAGUGUCCACUUCCCUUUCCCCACUGGUCCACUUCAGGGCCACAGGUGUGCCUACUUCCCACCCAGGCUAGGGAACAGUAUGAUGUCACCCUUAGUGCUGGUCCCUGACAGUGAAAUUAAUGUGACAGUUGGUUCUUGCUAAUUGUGGGGCCCACUAGGAACACAGAAAAAGAGGGACAAUUUAUUACCUGCUAAUUUGUUUUCUCAUUGAAAUAAAUACAGUCUGCAGCCCUCAUUUAAGGGAGGAUAUGUAUGCAUUAGAGUCACAUAUGGUGACUUUUGAGUUAUUUUGGAUAUCAGGGUCCCUAGGAAAAUCAGCAGGGAGAAGAUGAGCAAACUGAACAGGGCCAAGGAAGCAGCCCAGAGUGGCUGGGUCAGGGAGCAAGCCAGAGGGGCAGAAUUUCCAACCCAGCUCCCUUACCCAGCUCUGUUCCCCUGGAUGGUUUCUAAGGGCCUCUUCAAAGAGGAAGAUGGAGGCCAGUGGGGAGAGGCCAAGGAAGACAGAGCCACAGGAAGAUGGAGAUUUCACAGACAUGCUCUCCCCUGCCAUCAGGCAAUUCAGACUUUAGAUGAUGAUUCUCCAACCACUGUGCCUGUAAUUCAUUGCAUGCUGGGUCAAGCGACUAUUGAAUACAUCUUGCAGACAAUGGCUGGAUUUAAAAUUUUUUGUGUACCUCAAACAUUGGUCUGCAAUCUAUACAGACUGAAGGGGACUAGACAGUUCUCAUUGCAAAGGAACCUUUUGCGUAUGGAUGUCCAGUUGUUCCAGUACCAUUUGCUGAAAAGACUGCCCUUUCCCCAUUGAAUGGCUUUUGCACUUUUGUAAAAAAAAAAAAAAAAAAGAGUUGGUCAUGUUUGUAUGGGGCUAUUUUUGGACUCUGUUCUGUUUCAUUGAUACGUGCAUGUCUAUUUCUUUGCUAAUUCCAUGUCUUGACUACUGUAGCUUUAUAAAGAGUAUUAAAAUUCGGGUAGUGUGACUUCUCCAACCUUACUCUUCAUUUUCCAAGAUUGGUUUAGCUAUUUGUCUUCAUCAGUUUGGGCUGCUAAAACAGAAUGACACAGAAUGAGUGACUUAAACAACAAACAUUUAUUUUUCAGUUCUGGAGGUAGGAAGUUUGAGAUCAGGGUGUCAACAUGGCUGGUGAGAGCCUCCUCUUAGUUCAUAGCUGGCUUCCUUGCUGUAUUCUUCACAUGGAAGAAAGAGAGAGGAAGUAAACUCUCUCUUGCCUGUUCUUCUAAGGGCAGUCAUUCCAUUAUGAGGGCUCCACUCUCAUGACCUCCGCAAAGCUCCAUCUGCAAAUACCAUCACACUGAGGAUUGGGGUUUCAGCAUAUGAAUUUUAGGGGUACACAAACAUUCAGUCCGUAGCACUAUUCUAGUUUCUUUGCUUUUCCAUAUAAAUUUUAGAAUUAGUUUGCCCAAUUCUUUAAAAAGAAAUCCUGCUGGAACUUUGACUGAAAUUGUAUGAAUCUAUAGAUCAAUCUGGGAAAAAUGAAUAUCUUUACUAUACUGAGUUUUCCAGUCUGUGAGCAGAGUAUGUUUUGUCAUUUAUUUAGGCCAAAUUUGAAUUCUUUUAUCAGCAUUUUGUAGUUUUUUCAACUCACAGGUCCCAUGCAUAUUUUGUUAGGUUUAUACAUAAGUAUUUUAUUUUUCUUGAAUAUGAAAUAUGAAAAUGGUAUGUAUUUUUACUAGUGUCUAAAACUAUGAUUGGGGCUUCCCUGGUGGUGCAGUGGUUAAGAAUCUGCCUGCCAAUGCAGGGGAAAUGGGUUUGAGCCCUGGUUGGGAAAAUCCCACAUGCCGUGGAGCAACAAAGCCCAUGUGCCACAACUAUUGAGCCUGCGCUCUAGAGCCUGUGAGCCACAACUACUGACCUUGCUAGCCACAGCUACUGAAGCCCGCAUGCCUAGAGCCUGUGCUCCGCAACAAGAGAAGCCACCACAAUGAGAAGCCCUCACACCACAAUGAAGAAUAGCCCCCGCUCGCCACAACUGGAGGAAGCCCGCGCACAGCAAUGAAGACCCAAUGCAGCCAAAAAAAAACAAACAAACUACGAUUGAUUUUUGUGUGUUGAACGUUGAACUGGUGGCCUGUGACCUUGUUAAACUCACUUACUGUUUCUAUGAAUUUUGCUGUUGUUGUUAUUGUUGAUUUCUCAGGACUGUAUAUUUAGAAAAUUAUGUUUGUGAAUAAAGACAUUUUUAUUUCUUCCUU